CUUUCUGAUUGUAGCACUACUAGAAGACAGUAUUCCAGGUCAUCCUCAAGGUCCAGCCUCACUCUGGUAUCCUGGAUAGGAACCUGGGAGUCUGGUUUGACAUAGAACUUUUCUCUAAGAACAAACAUACUCUUCUGCCCAGAAAGUGCUGUCCUGGUGCCUUCUGCUGGGAGUCGGGAACAAUAUCUGUUCUGGUUGUCAUUCCUCUGUAUGAGACCCAACUGAAUUGUGUCUAGGGUUGGGUUACCUCUUCUGUGAAGCCCACCUGAUACACUCAGCCUCCCCAGCUACACCCUGCCUUGCAUUGUCACACUACACACCAAUGAACAAAUUGGUGAUGAUAAUGGUAUUGAUGCUAUUUCAGCAAAGAAUGGAAUAAAGAUGCAGAGAUGUCUUUGAAGGGAUGGGCAGGUCAGCUGUGGAAGGAAGAAGGAACAGUACUUAGUGCCUCAUUGAGAAUAACCUGUCCUUCGAUGGAGCUGCAGAGAAUUUGUGAGCAUAUGAUGAGCAUCUGGAACUGUUCCUUCCAGAAAAUAAUAUAUCAGAAGGCAGAAAAAUAAUUAUGUUUCCCUCAAUGAUCCUGGCAAAGAUGUUUGCUCUCCUACAGGACCUCAAGGCACUCAUAAAACUAAGAAAACUGAGUUAAGUGCUUUUUAUUAAACCAUUAAGAGAUUUUAUUCAGCUAAGACAAAUGUCUUCACUGAAGGAUACAAAGUUUGAUAGUAUAGAAAAUACCCAGAUGAAAAUGUGUCUGAAUAAAUUAGACUGAUGCAUUUGGCA